GUCUACGGCCAUACCAUCCUGAACAUGCCUAAUCCCCUCUGAUCUCAGAAGCUAAGUGGGGUCCAGCCUGGUUAGUACUUGGAUG
rnacentral:rRNA from 1 species